rnacentral:rRNA from 1 species
GUAGGUGGCAAGCGUUGUCCGGAAUUAUUGGGCGUAAAGCGCGCGCAGGCGGUCCUUUAAGUCUGAUGUGAAAGCCCACGGCUCAACCGUGGAGGGUCAUUGGAAACUGGGGGACUUGAGUACGGAAGAGGAAAGCGGAAUUCCAAGUGUAGCGGUGAAAUGCGUAGAGAUUUGGAGGAACACCAGUGGCGAAGGCGGCUUUCUGGUCUGUAACUGACGCUGAGGCGCGAAAGCGUGGGGAGCAAACAGGAUUAGAUACCCUGGUAGUCCACGCCGUAAACGAUGAGUGCUAAGUGUUAGGGGGUUUCCCGCCCCCUUAGUGCUGCAGCUAACGCAUUAAGCACUCCGCCUGGGGGAGUACGGCCGCAAGGCUG